UGGGGAAUAUUGGGCAAUGGGCGAAAGCCUGACCCAGCCAUGCCGCGUGAGUGAUGAAGGCCUUCGGGUUGUAAAGCUCUGUGGGGAAAGACGAAAAAGUUGCAACUAAUAAUUGUAAAAAUUGACGGUAUUUCCUUAGCAAGCACCGGCUAACUCUGUGCCAGCAGCCGCGGUAAUACAGAGGGUGCAAACGUUGCUCGGAAUUAUUGGGCGUAAAGCGCGCGUAGGUGGCUUAUUAAGUCAGAUGUGAAAGCCUUCGGCUUAACCGAAGAAGUGCAUUUGAAACUGGUAAGCUUGAGUACGAAAGAGGGUCUCGGAAUUCCCGGUGUAGAGGUAAAAUUCGUAGAUAUCGGGAGGAACACCAGUGGCGAAAGCGGAGACCUGGGUCGAUACUGACACUAAUGCGCGAAAGCAUGGGGAGCAAACA
rnacentral:rRNA from 1 species